rnacentral:ncRNA from 1 species
AACUUAUCAAGAGUGACGGAGGGAAUUGGCCCGGUGAUGUCCGGCAACCUGCAGACAUGCAAGGUGCUAAAUCCAACAAAAUGGAAGUCAUUUUGGAAGAUAAGGU